rnacentral:rRNA from 1 species
CUGUAGCUGAAUGAGGCAGGGAUCAUUACAAGUGACCCCGGUCUAACCACCGGGAUGUUCAUAACCCUUUGUUGUCCGACUCUGUUGCCUCCGGGGCGACCCUGCCUUCGGGCGGGGGCUCCGGGUGGACACUUCAAACUCUUGCGUAACUUUGCAGUCUGAGUGAACUUAAUUAAUAAAUUAAAACUUUUAACAACGGAUCUCUUGGUUCUGGCAUCGAUGAAGAACGCAGCGAAAUGCGAUAAGUAAUGUGAAUUGCAGAAUUCAGUGAAUCAUCGAAUCUUUGAACGCACAUUGCGCCCCCUGGUAUUCCGGGGGGCAUGCCUGUUCGAGCGUCAUUUCACCACUCAAGCCUCGCUUGGUAUUGGGCAACGCGGUCCGCCGCGUGCCUCAAAUCGACCGGCUGGGUCUUCUGUCCCCUAAGCGUUGUGGAAACUAUUCGCUAAAGGGUGCUCGGGAGGCUACGCCGUAAAACAAACCCAUUUCUAAGGUUGACCUCGGAUCAGGUAGGGAUACCCGCUGAACUUAAGCAUAUCAAUAAGACGGAAGA